rnacentral:rRNA from 1 species
AGUGAACGCUGGCGGUAGGCCUAACACAUGCAAGUCGAACGGCAGCACAGUAAGAGCUUGCUCUUACGGGUGGCGAGUGGCGGGCGGGUGAGGAAUACAUCGGAAUCUACUUUUUCGUGGGGGGUAACGUAGGGAAACUUACGCUAAUACCGCAUACGACCUACGGGUGAAAGCAGGGGAUCUUCGGACCUUGCGCGAUUGAAUGAGCCGAUGUCGGAUUAGCUAGUUGGCGGGGUAAAGGCCCACCAAGGCGACGAUCCGUAGCUGGUCUGAGAGGAUGAUCAGCCACACUGGAACUGAGACACGGUCCAGACUCCUACGGGAGGCAGCAGUGGGGAAUAUUGGACAAUGGGCGCAAGCCUGAUCCAGCCAUACCGCGUGGGUGAAGAAGGCCUUCGGGUUGUAAAGCCCUUUUGUUGGGAAAGAAAAGCAGCAGGUUAAUACCCCGCUGUUCUGACGGUACCCAAAGAAUAAGCACCGGCUAACUUCGUG